CAAUAGCGUAUAUUAAAGUUGUUGCAGUUAAAAAGCUCGUAGUUGGAUUUCUGGUGGGAGCGAUCGGUCUGGCGCUUAGCGCGAGUACUUGCAUCGUCUCCGGCCAUCCUUGGGGAGAGUCUGUCUGGCAUUAGGUUGUCGGGCAGAGGAUCCUCAUCGUUUACUGUGAAAAAAUUAGAGUGUUCAAAGCAGGCUUAUGCCGUUGAAUAUAUUAGCAUGGAAUAAUAAGAUAGGACUUUGGUACUAUUUUGUUGGUUUGCGCACUGAGGUAAUGAUUAAUAGGGACAGUUGGGGGUAUUCGUAUUCCAUUGUAAGAGGUGAAAUUCUUGGAUUUUUGGAAGACGAACUACUGCGAAAGCAUUUACCAAGGAUGUUUNCAUUAA
rnacentral:rRNA from 1 species